rnacentral:rRNA from 1 species
AACGCUAGCUACAGGCUUAACACAUGCAAGUUGAGGGGCAGUAUGGUCUUAGCUUGCUAAGGCCGAUGGCGACCGGCGCACGGGUGAGUAACACGUAUCCAACCUGCCGUCUACUCUUGGACAGCCUUCUGAAAGGAAGAUUAAUACAAGAUGGCAUCAUGAGUCCGCAUGUUCACAUGAUUAAAGGUAUUCCGGUAGACGAUGGGGAUGCGUUCCAUUAGAUAGUAGGCGGGGUAACGGCCCACCUAGUCUUCGAUGGAUAGGGGUUCUGAGAGGAAGGUCCCCCACAUUGGAACUGAGACACGGUCCAAACUCCUACGGGAGGCAGCAGUGAGGAAUAUUGGUCAAUGGGCGAGAGCCUGAACCAGCCAAGUAGCGUGAAGGAUGACUGCCCUAUGGGUUGUAAACUUCUUUUAUAAAGGAAUAAAGUCGGGUAUGUAUACCCGUUUGCAUGUACUUUAUGAAUAAGGAUCGGCUAACUCCGUGCCAGCAGCCGCGGUAAUACGGAGGAUCCGAGCGUUAUCCGGAUUUAUUGGGUUUAAAGGGAGCGUAGAUGGAUGUUUAAGUCAGUUGUGAAAGUUUGCGGCUCAACCGUAAAAUUGCAGUUGAUACUGGAUAUCUUGAGUGCAGUUGAGGCAGGCGGAAUUCGUGGUGUAGCGGUGAAAUGCUUAGAUAUCACGAAGAACUCCGAUUG